UUAAUACUCCCUUCAUCCGAAAAUACUUAUGCUAAAGAUGAGUGUAUCUAGACUUAUUUUAGUUAUAGAUACAUUCAUUAUAUUCAUUUUAGGAUAAUUAUUUCUGAACGGAGGGAAUAGUAG
rnacentral:pre_miRNA from 1 species